rnacentral:rRNA from 1 species
CAGUAGCCGCGGUAAUACGUAGGGUGCAAGCGUUAAUCGGAAUUACUGGGCGUAAAGCGUGCGCAGGCGGUUUUGUAAGACAGAGGUGAAAUCCCCGGGCUCAACCUGGGAACUGCCUUUGUGACUGCAAGGCUAGAGUACGGCAGAGGGGGAUGGAAUUCCGCGUGUAGCAGUGAAAUGCGUAGAUAUGCGGAGGAACACCGAUGGCGAAGGCAAUCCCCUGGGCCUGUACUGACGCUCAUGCACGAAAGCGUGGGGAGCAAACAGGAUUAGAGACCCCUGUAGUCCCUGUCUCUUAUAA